UCCAGAGAACUUCGCAGUGAGAUUUUGUGCUUUCGCGAACUAUGAGACAGGUGCGGAUGCUUUAUCUUCGGCUUGUGUUGGGAUUUGUUGAGUUAGGUUUCGCUCCCGGCGUGACCCUUAUCCUUUUUUCCCAUCGGUACGGUGGGACCUCAAACGAGACUGCCAGUGAUAAACUGGAGGAAGGUGGGGAUGACGUCAAUUCUUCAUGGCCCUUACGAGUAGGGUUCCACACUUCUUACAAUGCAGCAAACAAAGAGGGUCCCCUCGUGAGGGGACUCAACCCCAAAAAACCCAACCGUAGUCCGGAUCGGAGUCGGCAGCCCCGGCCCCAGGAAGCCGGAAGGGCUAGAACUCGUAGA
rnacentral:rRNA from 1 species